CAAUACACAAACCCACCAAGAAACAGGGUAAAACAAAAUACAUACACACAAACAAGGUUUGACAAACUACCAAAAAUCCUCAAAAUAUAUAUUGCCAAUGCUAGUCAUUUUCAGCAUCUCUACAAACACAUCUUUAUCAAUAUAAAUACAAAUCCAACAUUAAGUUUAUAAAAUGUCUAACUCUCUGCUCCCCCCCUUCCGUCUGCUUUGGUCUCUUCCGGAACCUUUAAAAGGUACUCAGGCCCCCGGGGAAUCUUUUAGCCUGAACACCCUGCAGAGGAAGAGAGAGGACAUAAUCAGUUCCAGCUGAGAUGCCACCGAAACCACCAUUAAUAAACCAUUUCAAUCA